rnacentral:rRNA from 1 species
ACUCCUACGGGAGGCAGCAGUAGGGAAUAUUGGACAAUGGGCGAAAGCCUGAUCCAGCAAUGCCGCGUGAGUGAAGAAGGCCUGCGGGUUGUAAAGCACUAUCGGCAGGAAAGAAAAGUCAUGCGCCAAUACCGCAUGACCUUGACGUUACCUGCAGAAAAAGCACCGGCUAACUCCGUGCCAGCAGCCGCGGUAAUA